rnacentral:rRNA from 1 species
AUUUCUUCGGGAUGAAGAGCUUAGUGACUGAGCGGCGGACGGGUGAGUAACGCGUGGGUAACCUGCCUCAUACAGGGGGAUAACAGUUAGAAAUGACUGCUAAUACCGCAUAAGACCACAGCACCGCAUGGUGCAGGGGUAAAAACUCCGGUGGUACAGGAUGGGCCCGCGUCUGAUUAGCUGGUUGGCAGGGUAACGGCCUACCAAGGCGACGAACAGUAGCCGGCUUGAGAGAGUGAACGGCCACAUUGGGACUGAGACACGGCCCAAACUCC